CGUGAGCAAUCUGCCUUUGGAUGGGGGAUAACAGCCGGAAACGACUGCUAAUACCGCAUAAUGCAGCAGGACCGCAUGAUUUUGCUGCCAAAGAUUUAUCGUCCAAAGAUGAGCUCGCGUCUGAUUAGCCAGUUGGCGGGGUAACGGCCCACCAAAAGCGACGAUCAGUAGCCGGACUGAGAGGUUGAACGGCCACAUUGGGACUGAGACACGGCCCAGACUCCUACGGGAGGCAGCAG
rnacentral:rRNA from 1 species